UACAGAGGUGGCAAGCGUUGUUCGGAAUUACUGGGCGUAAAGGGUGCGUAGGCGGCGGGGCAAGUCUGAUGUGAAAUCCUGGGGCUCAACCCUGGAACUGCAUUGGAUACUUCCUUGCUAGAGUACUGGAGAGGAAACUGGAAUUUACGGUGUAGCAGUGAAAUGCGUAGAGAUCGUAAGGAAGACCAGUGGCGAAGGCGAGUUUCUGGACAGUUACUGACGCUGAGGCACGAAGGCCAGGGGAGCAAACGGG
rnacentral:rRNA from 1 species